CCUACGGGUGGCAGCAGUGGGGAAUAUUGCACAAUGGGGGAAACCCUGAUGCAGCGACGCCGCGUGAGUGAAGAAGGAUUUCGGGAUGUAAAGCUCUAUCAGCAGGGAAGAAAAUGACGGUACCUGAUUAAGAAGCCCCGGCUAACUACGUGCCAGCAGCCGCGGUAAUACGUAGGGGGCAAGCGUUAUCCGGAUUUACUGGGUGUAAAGGGAGCGUAGACGGCAGCACAAGUCUGGAGUGAAAUGCCGGGGCUUAACCCCGGAACUGCUUUGGAAACUGUGCAGCUUGAGUGCAGGAGAGGUAAGUGGAAUUCCUAGUGUAGCGGUGAAAUGCGUAGAUAUUAGGAGGAACACCAGUGGCGAAGGCGGCUUACUGGACUGUAACUGACGUUGAGGCUCGAAAGCGUGGGGAGCAAACAGGAUUAGAUACCCCGGUAGUC
rnacentral:rRNA from 1 species